rnacentral:rRNA from 1 species
UACAGAGGUGGCAAGCGUUGUUCGGAAUUACUGGGCGUAAAGGGCGCGUAGGCGGUCCUGUAAGUCUUGUGUGAAAUCCCUCGGCUUAACUGAGGAACUGCACAGGAUACUGCGAGACUUGAGUUCGGGAGAGGGAAGCGGAAUUCCGGGUGUAGCGGUGAAAUGCGUAGAUAUCUGGAGGAACACCGGUGGCGAAGGCGGCAUCCUGGACCGACACUGACGCUGAGGCGCGAAAGCUAGGGUAGCAAACGGG